rnacentral:misc_RNA from 1 species
UCUCCGUUGGUGAACCAGCGGAGGGAUCAUUACUGGAUGCAAUACUCCAACAACCCUUGCGAACAUACCUAAACGUUGCCUCGGCGGGGCUCCCUUAUGGGGAGCGCCAACCCGCCGGCGGCCCCAAACUCUGCCUCAUUAGUGUCUCUCUGAGCAAAACUAAAUAAGUUAAAACUUUCAACAACGGAUCUCUUGGUUCUG